UUUUUAAAUUCAGACUUAAAAUAGUGGAUAUCUAAUCCAUAGUCUCGUUUGUGAUUAAUUUACUGUUUUUAAUUUAUGUUAUCGUUUCUUAUCUUAAAUUCAAUGUACAAUGUUGUUGUAAUUUAAAAGUCCAUGUUUAAUCUCUUAAAUUUACAAGAUGGUUCAUUAUGUAACUAACGCACUGUGUAGGGUUUCACGGAUUAAUUAGUGAAUCUUUCCGUUACAAGUUUUGCAUAAGCAGAAAAGGGAAAGACAAAUUGAAUUUAGAGAUUUUUAUUAAAAGUUUGGACAACAAAAUUGCAUCAAAAACAAGUUUAUUACAACAAACUUUCUCAAAACAUUAGACAUGAAAAUUACAUCAAAUCUAAUUAACAAUGAGAACCGUAAAUAGAAUCUUCUCUUAUGGGCUCCUCUUGUCAAUGUUUGCCCUCUUAAUGGAGAAGAACAAAACUCCUUUGGAUACUGCAGGUUGCACCUAAAAGGCCAAACUUCUAUUUUCAGUCACCGACACUUAGCUACUUCCAGUCAUGGAUUUUUUUCUACUGCCUACAAGUUUGCGGGUGUCGCGGUGCGAAAAAUAUCCUCAAGUGUGAACACUUGAAAAAUAACAGAGUCGCCACCGAAUUUUAUUUCUCCCAAGGAAGGGAAAGGAAAAUAUCGAGAAAACCUUGAGGGGUGAGAAAUGGAUUCGGGAGUUGGUUAUGCGAGGGGAAGGUAUUAGCACCUCUCACAUCCGUUGUACUCAACGGGAACCUUUUAGAGGGAAAUUGUUUGUUUGCCUUAAUGUGUUUUUUAAUAUUUGCUUAAUUAUUCGUUUCUUGCUUCAUCGAUAGAAAAAGUUUUUUAUUUAUUAUUAUUAUUGGGAUUAUAGAUAUGGGGAAUAAGUUUUGUUUUUUAUUAUUAUGCCCGACAAGAUAUUGAAUCUUGCUCCUACGUAUUCCCAGGUGCAAUGGGAAAUCAGGGUUUCGUAAUUCAGGAUAAAAAAUGUUUGUGGGUUGGUUGUUUUUAGACGUAUGACGUCUAAGUCGCAUUCUCGUAUUUAAAUGUUGCUUGUAUGCUCGCACUUUGGAGGCUUAAGCGUGAUUUGUAUUACGAAGAAUGUCGCAUUCUCGUAUUUAAACGCUGCUUGUAUGCUCGCACGGUGGAGGCUUAAGCGUUGUUUGUGUUACGGAGAAAGGACGAAAACGUAAUCCAUUUUGUGAAAAAGGUUUUACUUUUACUGCGCGCGAGGGNNNNNNNNNNNNNNNNNNNNNNNNNNNNNNNNNNNNNNNNNNNNNNCCAUACGUCAGGGCCUCGUUCUAUCUGGGGAAGAAAGCCAUACGUCAGACUAACCCUUUUUCAUUCUGAUUAUGCUUAAAUUCUUUUAUUUGAUUUAUGAAAGUCAAAAGAGAAGAUGAAGCAGAUGAUGAAGUGUUUUAACGUUUUUUAGCGUCUGAGAAUGAGAAUGAUUCGAGUCACGAACCAUACGUCAGGGCCUGGAAUCAUCCAGGGAAGAAAGCCAUACGUCAGACUAACCCUUUUUCAUUCCAAUUAAGAUUUAAUUUGUUGCGUUUAAGCAAGAUAACCAAGAAACAAACCAAGCAGAUAUAAUAUACAACGAAUAUAUGCAUGGACGAAAGCUUUUGUCAACUGGUCAAUUUUGCUUCAUCAUGAUUGUUUAGAGAAAAGAAUAAGAAUGAGAAUAAUUCGAGUCACGAGCCAUACGUCAGGGCCUCAAAUUAUUCGGGGAAGAAAGCCAUACGUCAGACUAACCCUUUUUCAUUCCAUUUAUUUUAGUUACGGAGUUUUUCAAGUAAAUAAGUGCUUUUGAGAAACAAACUCACAAUGAAAGUAUUAAAUCAAGUAAGUAAUCCAAACGUUACAUAUGAACUUAUUAAAAUAAGCUUGAGAAAUUUUGAUUAAUUAAUCACCUAACUAACAAUCACUUAAUCAAGUGUUUAACCAUUUAAGCACUUAGUGAUUUGAGCACUUUUAUCAAACAACUUAAAUGGUUACUCACUUAAUCAAGUAUUUAAUUAAUCGACUAAUUAAUCAAUAACUCAAAUAAUCAUUUUCAAAUGAUAAGCGCUUAUUUAAAUAAGCACCUAUGUGGAUAAGCUCUUAUUUGAAUAAGCACUUAUAUGACUAAGCACUAGAAAAUAAAUAAACCGCCACUAGGGUGUAAACUGGGUUCUGGAGGUGACACAAUAGCAAUCUGCAACACCAAAGCCCAGCCCAGACUAAUUUUCGUCCAAACAAAAAAAUGAGUAGAACAAAAAAAAAAUCACAUACAUCAUUAGGAUACGGGUGUAUGGUAGGCUUCCCGGAUCUGGGCCUUUUGAUUUGAUCAAAUGGCUCAGAUUUAAAAAUCCACUAACAGAUCUCGGCCUCACAGCAGAUCUAACGAUCGUGUCUUAAAAUUGGUGAGAACCAAUGAUCCGCUGACACGUCAUCGUCUUGUGGGUUUCACUACUGAGAUGUAUUAGAAGAGUUUUGUGAAAUAAAAUUGAAGUUUGAAUGAUGUUUUGUGUGAUUUCUAAAAAUGGAAAAAAUGGUGAAAAAGAUGAGAUUUUUUGUGGUUCUAGCUCUUCCGAAAAUCCAACCUCUAUUCCUCUCUUCAUUGCUGCUUAUAUAGAGACAAUAGGAACAUUCUAGGCUGAAGGAAUUAGGUUAAAAAGGGUGAAAAAAGAAUUUUCUCAUGAAUGACAUUUUUGGGAAUUUUUGGUGUUAUAGUGGUGAUUUUAUUUGUUCCAAUCAUGAUCCUUGUCCAAUGAUUAGAGGGGAUCACGAAAUUUUGAUGAGUUGGCUUUCUUCUAGAGUAUUCUAGAUGAAAAUGAAGAUAUGCAAUGGAAUUGUUUUGGUAUAUUCCAUUUUUUUUGUGUUUUUGGUACAUUUUUUAGUCACUCGUUCCUAUUUUUUGGGAGUGUCGACUUUGAUCAAAUUGGUAUUUUGGUGAGUGAACCUUAUCUGGGGUAUAAGUGGAAUUUUGAUGGUGAAAUGUGGUUUCUUGAAGGUGAAGUAACAAAAAUGAAUAUAAAAAUAAUAUUUUUAAAUUUUUGAAAUAAUAAUAAAAUAUGAUAAAAAUGGGGUAGGACAAAAUUAGGGUAUCACAGUGGGUUAAAAUGCAUACUCAGAUUAUAGUGUAGAUAGCACACAGUUUAUUUUUUUGUUCCAGAUUUUACUAUUUUACACAUUCGCUACAUAACCUGAGAGGUGGGUCGGAAGAGAGGGUAAAAUUAAUAGCUUAGAGGACUCUUGAGAAGAUCUGGAAAUGAAGUUUUUUCCCUCUUUAUAAAGCUCAGCCCAAAUAUCUUUGUCCAACAAAUUGACACAUGUAAGUACCGGUUCAGAUCAAGUUGCAUGUUUCUGCCGAAAAUAUCACGCUUUAGCAAUUAGAUUCUAUGUAUGUGUAGCUGUGUGUAGGUGCUGGAUUAAUACCAAUUAGAUUAUGAUGCAGCUGGUUAGUGUCGUAAACUUGAAGCUAAUAAAGCAUAAAUGCCAUUCACCACUUUGAUUAUUAAAACAACUCAGAAACAAUUAAUUAUUAUAGAUAAGAGUAGAAUAAUAAUUGUUCGCUGCUCUAAUCACUACAUAUAUGGAUUACUUCUCAUGAUUUAUUCUAUUGGGUAAUGCUAAACGAUGCCCCGGGACACUAGUUAAGCAUACUAAAAAAAGGAAACAAGUGAUAAAGUUAAUAAUGAGAGAGAAUAAGUUUUUACAUCAUGAAAAUUUUGAAUUCACAAUUUACGAAAUAAAAUUUUUAUAUUUAUAUCCUUAACCAUUGCCUCGGGGGCACUGUUUAGCAUUUUCAUAUUCUAUGAGUUAUUCUAUUUUAUAUUCACUAAUAAUAUGGUACAACUUUACUUUUCUCUCUUCCCUUAUCAUGAGAAUUCCGUGUUUCAUAACAUUAUAUGAUAGCAUAUUUGAUAUGCACCUUGUAAAAAAAAAUGUAAAGAUGAAGUAGGAAUUAAGGAUUUGAGGAAGUGAGAGAUUUAAUAUGAACUUCUUAGAACGAAUUGUUCAGGAAAACUUGAAAUCGGUUCUAGAUGACAACAAUUUUUUACUAGGUUUUAUUUAUCGCGACGGAUUAUCAGGCCUUUUUCAUGUGAACCAGAGAAUUAAUAUAAGAAAAAAAAAACUAAUUUGAAAAAACUCACCUAAUUAUGUGGUUGCUUUCAAUGAGACUGAAUUACCUGCUGCUGCUGAGUUCGUAUGCAUAUAGGAGGAUAAUUAGUAGCUUGAUGAUCGAGUCUAGUAUAAACAAUUUAUUGAAGAGAUUAUUCCUUUAAAACUAUAGUUUGGACAAGUGACAAUAGUACACCUCAUGUUAUAAGCCAUAUAUAGCCAGCAGGCAGCAG
rnacentral:lncRNA from 1 species